GAAGGGGGCACUGAAGGGGUUGAUGUGGGGAGAGAGGGAUCUGGGGUCACUGGUGUGUGGGGAGAGAAGGGGGACUGGGAGGACUGGUUAUAUGGGGAGAGGGGAUACUGGGGGCACUGGUGUGGGGAGUGGUGUAAGUGGGGAGAGGUACUGGGGGUACUGUUGUGUGUGGGGAGAUACUGAGGGGUAUGGGGAGGGGGUCCUGUGUGUACUGGUAUAGAUGAGGUGUGUGUUUGUAUGUGUCUGGGGGAGUUCUUGCAACAAAAAGGAGUUUGGAGGGGACAGGAAAAGCAUAGAGAGUGGGUAGAAGUGGGGCAGCUGGGACGUGGUGCGUAUCACAUAGUGGGUCUGGCAUGGAGCGAGCUGCUCUUCAUCAUCAGGACCAGAGCAAGUUCUUUGUUAAUUAAGUCAUUGAUUAUAUUACCUCCUGGAAGCAGCACGUCACCCACGCAACGCUGAGUGUAGAGCUGGGUUUCAGGCCCCUCCGUUGGCAGAUUUAAUGGCUUGUGUAAAGGGGGCCAUUAUCGUUUCCAGGAACUGCCGCUUCUAUCUCCCUGUUGACUCAUUUCAUUGCAACUAUUUUCUGUCUCUUCUGAGGAGGAAAUGACCAACAGCGCCUGCAUGUAUCAUUCAUAUAUAUCUUUUUUGUCUGAAUAAAAGUGGAAGUGGGUGC